GUGGGGAAUCUUCCGCAAUGGACGAAAGUCUGACGGAGCGACGCCGCGUGAGUGAAGAAGGCCUUCGGGUCGUAAAGCUCUGUCAUCAGGGACGAACGGCCGGUGGAGUGGAAAGCCACCGGAUUGACGGUACCUGAGAAGGAAGCCACGGCUAACUACGUGCCAGCAGCCGCGGUAAUACGUAGGUGGCAAGCGUUGUCCGGAAUUAUUUGGCGUAAAGCGCGCGCAGGUGGGAUCUUAAGCCCAUUUUUAAAGUUCGGAGCUCAACUCCGUGAUGGGAUGGAAACUGGGAUUCUUGAGUGUCGGAGAGGAAAGUGGAAUUCCAAGUGUAGCGGUGAAAUGCGUAGAGAUUUGGAAGAACACCAGUGGCGAAGGCGACUUUCUGGACGAUGUCUGACGCUGAGGCGCGAAAGCUAGGGGAGCGAACGGGAUUAGAAACCCGAGUAGUCC
rnacentral:rRNA from 1 species